CUCGCAUUCAUUAAAAUGCACAAGAAGAAAUUUCUAAUGAGUACUUGCUUCAAAUUCAUACUUCAGUGAAAUAAACAACACCAUACAUAGGAAUGUGAAAGCAAAGUCAUCAUACACUGUUUGCUUCAUUGUAUGAGAAUCAAUGUUUGCAUGAUAAACUGCCCUAAUGGAAGAGGACUCUGAGUUACCUUUUUCGAGCAAAGCCACCUAGGUUACUCUGUUUUCCCCAGAGUGACCCUUCUGUUCUGCAAAUUUUCAGAUUGAAGGGAGUAGCAGUA
rnacentral:lncRNA from 1 species